rnacentral:lncRNA from 1 species
ACUCGGCUUCUGAGCCAGAUCCUGUCAGGACACCUUCUUCAACCUGCCAAGCGGGGACCCACCCAGGAGUUCCUAUUUUUUCCUGAUUUGCUCUGAGAAGAGGCCGAAACACCGGGAGGCCGGGUAUUGCGGUGUUGUCCAGGCUGGUCUGGAACUUCUGGCCUCAGCCCAUCCUUCGGUCUCGGCUCCCAAAGCGCUGGGAUUAUAGGCAUGAGCCACUGCCCCCGCGCCCACUUCUGCUUCUAAAAAAUGAGUUUCAGGGCCCUCUCCUGGUACCCCAAGCCAAGGCCAAGUGGGAACUGGAAGCUGGAACAGCCCAACUACCCACCCAGCCUGCAGAGGAGAGACCAGAAAUAGCCCUUAGCUUCCAGGGAGAUGGCGAGUGACCUGAUCCUGCGCCUGGUCGGCAGGCCCUUGAGAGCAGUGGCCUCCUCUGUCUUGCUCUCCACCCGAUCCUGACUUAGCCCAGCUUCUCCGGAGCUGCCUGCUCACGAGGCUGCACUCCCUCUGGCCUCUGCCACUCCCUCCCGGCUGGGCUGAAACUGCUCUUGUCCAAGUCACCAACAGCCUCUGCGCUGCCUGCCGAGCACAGUGGGUGCCUCGUCCUCUCCCCAUCGUCCUUCACAGUGGUCGCCUCCAUUGUAGGCCGCUCCCUGCUCAGUCAGCUCCUGGCACUGAGCCUCCUGCUUUUCCUCCCACUCUGUGCCUCCUCCACCCAACUCUAAGCAUCAGGGGCUGGUCUCGGCCCCCUUCCUCUCCAUUUGCAAUCUGCCUAGGCCUAGGCCAUCGCUUACCUUAGAUACCAUCCCCAGCACCUUGACUCCCAAAGUCUCUCUCCGGCACAGACUUCCAUUCAGCUCAAGACUCAUACCUGACUGCCUACUUGACCUCACCACUUGAAAGCCUCCAGGACCUUAAAACAGAGCCUCACUGUCCACCCGUCCCAUCAGCAGGCCCACACCACAUGACAGGCCAGCCCCACUGUGACCCACACCACAGAACACCCUUGCACUUUUCACUGCGCCCAAUCUCUCCUCCACCCCAGCCAGAGUGAUUCUGGAAUUUGUACCAUGUUCAUGUAUUUUAUAAUUUCUAAAACAUUAAUUAAAAAUAAAAAAAAACUUGAAAGCAGGGUAUCAAAGAGAUACCUGUACACCCAGGUUUAUAGCAGCGUUAUUUGCAGCAGCCAAAAGAUGGAAUCUGCCAGGGUACAGUGGCUCACACCCAUAAUCCCAG